GAGGGCUUGCUCUUAUGUUGUUGGUAAGUGCUAACUUCUCUCUCUCUGUGAUACUUUAGUCCCAAAUUGGUUACCUUUUAGUUGAUACCUUGAAACUUGGAAGUUCAAGGCAGCUGGUAGGACCCUUUCCCUGCAAUGGCAUGUUGUUAAUUUCAAGCUGUAUAUUUCUUUAAUUUGCUUUACUGAGAGCACUUUCUGAAUCUAUCAAGUCAAAGAAAAACUGGGUUUCAAUUGGAUUUACAUU
rnacentral:misc_RNA from 1 species